rnacentral:tRNA from 1 species
GCCUGAGUGGCUCAGUUGGUUAAGCAUCUGACUUCAGCUCAUGUCAUGAUCUGACAGUUCGUGGGUUCAAGCCCCGCAUCAGGCU